rnacentral:misc_RNA from 1 species
AAGUCGUAACAAGGUUUCCGUAGGUGAACCUGCGGAAGGAUCAUCAAUAGUCCACAUACUCGCACUAUGCCGUCUUUGCACCGCCUCCUCUCCCCAAGAGAGGAGGAGGAUCUGGGGCGGAUGGUGUGAGAAUACCUUCUUGUGCACCGUUUGUUAGUUAUAUGGCUGACUGGGAGAGAUUGCUUGGAGAGGAGGAGCAUGUUGUUGCCGUGAUGGUGGCAGUGGGCUCUCUCUGCUCUGCGCUUCCUCCCAGCUGGCCAUUUGUUUUACACAAACCCUGUUAAUUAUAAACACUGUAUGAUAGCAUGCUUGUAUUGGAGAUAUACACGGCACGCACUUGUGUGUGCUGUUGAAUACUAUUACUUAUACAACUUGCAGCGAUGGAUCUCUAGGCUCUG